rnacentral:rRNA from 1 species
CGCGGCCUAUCAGCUUGUUGGUGAGGUAAUGGCUCACCAAGGCAUCGACGGGUAGCUGGUCUGAGAGGACGAUCAGCCACACUGGGACUGAGACACGGCCCAGACUCCUACGGGAGGCAGCAGUAGGGAAUAUUGCGCAAUGGGCGAAAGCCUGACGCAGCGACGCCGCGUGGGGGAAGAAGGCCUUCGGGUCGUAAACCCCUUUCAGCAGGGACGAAAUUGACGGUACCUGCAGAAGAAGCGCCGGCCAACUACGUGCCAGCAGCCGCGGUAAUACGUAGGGCGCAAGCGUUGUCCGGAUUCAUUGGGCGUAAAGGGCUCGUAGGCGGUUUGGUAAGUCGGGUGUGAAAACUCAGGGCUCAACUCUGAGACGCCACUCGAUACUGCCAUGACUAGAGUCCGGUAGAGGAGUGUAGAAUUCCUGGUGUAGCGGUGAAAUGCGCAGAUAUCAGGAGGAACACCGGUGGCGAAGGCGGGUCUCUGGGUAGUAACUGACGCUGAGGAGCGAAAGCGUGGGUAGCGAACAGGAUUAGAUACCCUGGUAGUCCACGCCGUAAACGGUGGGUACUAGGUGUGGGUUCCUUUCACGGGAUCCGUGCCGUAGCUAACGCAUUAAGUACCCCGCCUGGGGAGUACGG